rnacentral:lncRNA from 1 species
AAGAGGAAGUCUGUGUUUACUGAGUGUGUGCAUGGACUGCCUUCACAGUCAAGAUUAUCAACUGUGUUGGAUGGCGAGAAGACCCACAGAGAAAAAACAUGGCAGGGGACAUGGAGAGAUCCUGCCCUGACUUCCCUCAACGGCAGACUCUCCCUGGAACGUGAAACAAACCAUCUUCAGGUGGUUUUUGAUGUUUCUCACAGCAACAGAAAAGCAAACCAAGACAGACACCCACAGAUCAAGUGGAUGGCUCCUCCCUUCUCCC